GCCGACGUAGCUCAGUCGGUAGAGCGCGUCCUUGGUAAGGACGAGGUCACCGGUUCAAUCCCGGUCAUCGGCUCCA
rnacentral:tRNA from 1 species